rnacentral:lncRNA from 1 species
GAAGUGGGUAAAAAUCUGUAAAGCCACGUUACCAUUAGCACGCAGAGAGCCUUUUCUGGAGAUUGAAAGGAAGUUGAAGAGCUGGGUUAGCUAUCAUCGUAAGCUAUCAUCGUUAGUGAUGGCGUAAACCUGGGUAAUUUUCCUCUAAUGUCGCGAUUGUCCUCUGAUUUGUAAGUUUAAAAAUAGCCUCAGAAAAGGCUUGGCUGUACUUGCAGAGGAUUUUUCCCACUCAAUGAUGUUCGAUUCUUUUGAUUCUUAUUGCUAGGUAAUAUUGUAAUCGCAGGUCCAGUGAAAUUUGAGGGUAGUCUAGAGUCUGACAGAAAUUAAAAGAAGGCAGCUUCUGGGAAAUAUUUUCCUCCCAGAUAAAAAGACGAAGCUUCCAGAGGAGACUUCACCUUUCCAUUUUUUUCUUCUGUAAGUGGGGUGGUGUGAGGACUGACCAUGAGGGGACAAGUUUCCAGAUGAAAAGCUCACGUGCAGGCCGGGCGCGGUGGCUCAGGUCUGUAAUCCCAGUACUUUGGGAGGCCGAGGUGGGUGGAUCACGAGAUCAGGAGGUCGAGACCAUCCUGGCCAACAUGGUGAAACCCCAUUUCUACUAAAAAUACAAAAAUUAGCCGGGCGUGGUGGUGGGCGCCUGUAAUCCCAGCUACUCGGGAGGCUGAGGCAGGAGAAUCACUUGAACCCGGGAUGCAGAGGUUGCAGUGAGCCGGGAUUGUGCCACUGCACUCCAGCCUGGGCAACAAGAGCGAGACUCCGUCUCAAAAAAAAAAAAAAAAAGGAAAGAAAAACUCACGUGCUGAAGAUGGUUGAGGGCAAAGAUAGAAAACACCCAAAUACUUGAUGAUAUCAUUGAGCUGCUGUACCAUGCUUGGAACUGCCUAUCUCCAGACUUUGUUGUGUAAGUUAAUUAAAGGUCUUGGCCGGGUGCAGUGGCUCAUACCUGUAAUCUCAUCACUUUGGGAGGCUGAGGUGGUCUCGAUAACUAGGUCAAGAGAUCGAGACCAGCCUGGCCAACAUGGUGAAAUCCUGUCUCUACUAAAAAUACAAAAAACAAAAAAACAAAAUAACUAGGCGGGCGUGGUGGUGCAUACCUGUAGUCCCAGCUACUAGGGAGGCUGAGGCAGGAGAAUCGCUUGAAUCCGGGAGGUGGAGGUUGCAGUGAGCCGAGGUGGAGCCACCUCACUCUAGCCUGGGCGACAGACUCCAUCUCAAAAAAAAAAAAAAAAAGAUGAUUAAAGGUCUUUACUGUUUAGACUCUAAGUCUGUUGCUUGGGUGUUCUGUUUCUUGAAGUUAAAAGCAUUCAUCUUCAGGGAAAAAAGUUACUGGUCAGAAAGGUGGAGUUUGAUUAUGUUUGAACCCUUACAAAGUCUCUCAAUAUGCAGAUUACUUUCUAAACAACAAAUUAUAGUUUCAGAAAGAUACAAUAACCUGAAAUUAUUUCAGUGACUGCUCAUUUGGAACGAUUAUGAAUGUACCUGACAGAUAUGGCGAAAAUAGGAGGCAAAGAACUAUAAUACUGAUUUAGUAAUAAUUAGUGGUAUGAGCUAACACUUGCAUAUGUUGGAUGCUAUUAUAAACAUCAAUAGAUUUUUGAUAUGGAAACACUGAUUUUUUUUUAGAGAUUACUUUUAAAACUCAAUACAAUUAGAAGUAAUUACAAAUAUACAGCUACAGAACACUUGGCAGGGUGACUAUCUUACAGUACACUGCUACUUUGGUGGCCCCAAAUGAACCAGGCUUCCCAAUAUUUGCACCUUUAGGAGUUCUCUUCUCUUGAGUCUGAUUGGGCCUGUCACUUGCUUUAAUCAAUAGUAGAAUGCGUUGGAAGUGAUGUUAUGCCAGUUUGGGACUAUGCCUUAAGAAGGCCUGAUAGCUUCUGUUUUUGCAUUCGGGGGAAGCCAGCUGCUGUGUUAGAAGUUUGACUUCUCAGACUUACUGCCUGUGAAAAGCCCAACCAACCAUGUGAAGAAGAACUGAGGUUUGGGCCAACAGCCUCAGUUGAACUCCCAGCCAGCAGUCAACACCAACUUUUGCCAGCCACGUGAAGAAGGCCAUUUAAAAAGUGGAUUCUCCAGCCCACUGGAGCCACCUCAGGUGACUGCGUGUGGAGCAAAGAAAGGCUAUUUGAGCCCACAUUGCAAAAUUACAAGCAAAUAAAUAAAAUUAUUGUAGUUUUAAGCCACUAAGUUGUUUAAUAAUAGAUAGCUAAAAUGUACAGGCAAACUUGGAAGAUACUG